rnacentral:rRNA from 1 species
GACGAACGCUGGCGGCGUGCUUAACACAUGCAAGUCGAACGGAAAGGCCCUGCUUUUGUGGGGUGCUCGAGUGGCGAACGGGUGAGUAACACGUGAGUAACCUGCCCUUGACUUUGGGAUAACUUCAGGAAACUGGGGCUAAUACCGGAUAGGAGCUCCUGCUGCAUGGUGGGGGUUGGAAAGUUUCGGCGGUUGGGGAUGGACUCGCGGCUUAUCAGCUUGUUGGUGGGGUAGUGGCUUACCAAGGCUUUGACGGGUAGCCGGCCUGGGAGGGUGACCGGCCACCUUGGGACUGAGAUACGGCCCAGACUCCUACGGGAGGCAGAAGUGGGGAAUAUUGCACAAUGGGCGGAAGCCUGAUGCAGCAACGCCGCGUGCGGGAUGACGGCCUUCGGGUUGUAAACCGCUUUCGCCUGUGACGAAGCGUGAGUGACGGUAAUGGGUAAAGAAGCACCGGCUAACUACGUG